UAGACCUGGUUUAGUCCUGGUUUAGUCCUGGUUUAGACCUGGUUUAGUCCUGGUUUAGACCUGGUUCAUCUUUCGUUUCGUUUCUUGUCUGCGUUCAUUGGUCUAUUUUCAAAGUAAGUAAAAGUGAAAGUACAGCAUGUGCUUGAGUCGUUCCAGCAGCAGCAGCAGUUCACCAGCUGAACAUGGACACUCUACAACUCCAGCAGAAUUACUCACAAAGAUUUGGAUUUUAACUCUUUGACAAAGAUGUUACCUGAGGACUCCUCGCUCCACUGGCUGCCUGGGCUGGUGCGCGGCUCAUUCACACUGAAGCCCAUCUUCAGAGGGUCUCUCUCCAGAGGCACAGGCUGACUGAUCUGGAAAAACAGCACUGGCACAUAAGUCCUGGUCUCAGGUCUCUGCUCUGGCUCCUGUGGCUCAGAGACUUUAAAGCGUCUCUGUUUGUACAAGUGUCUCCACAUGUCCGAGCACCAAAGUCCAUCUGUGACAUGUUAGUGUCAUAUGAACAUCUCACACUCUGAGGAGCUCAGGGACCGAACUCCUGCUGGUGCCCAGAGUCACGACUAAACAAGGGGAGUCAGAGUUUCAGGUUCAUGCAGCUAAAACCUGGAACAGUCUGAACAUGUGAGACAGACUCUUCUGUGACGCUGUUUAAAUCCAGACUCAAAACAUUUCUGUUUAACUGUGCAAAUAACUGAAAGGUUUUCAUUCCGCACUCUUCUCUCCAAUUUAUGUCUCUCUUUUUUAAUUUUAAUCUUCAUGAUUAUUUAUGUUUUGAUUAGUUUUUAUUAUGAUUUUAAUGUAUUUCUUAUUCUGUAAAAGCACUUUGAAUUACUUUGUGUACGAAUUGUGCUGUACAAAUAAACUUGCCUUGCCACUGCACUGAGAA